rnacentral:rRNA from 1 species
UACGUAGGGGGCCAGCGUUGCUCGGAAUUACUGGGCGUAAAGGGUUCGUAGGUGGUGCGGCAAGUUGGGAGUGAAAUCUCUGGGCUUAACUCAGAGGCUGCUUUCAAAACUGCCGCGCUCGAGUGCGAGAGAGGUCAGUGGAAUUGCAGGUGUAGCGGUGAAAUGCGUAGAUAUCGGGAGGAACACCAGUGGCGAAGGCGGCUACCUGGACCAGCACUGACACUGAAGCACGAAAGCGUGGGGAGCAAACAGG